rnacentral:rRNA from 1 species
GAAUUCACUAGUGAUUUGGCGGCGUGGUUAAGACAUGCAAGUCGAACGAGAGAAUUGCUAGCUUGCUAAUAAUUCUCUAGUGGCGCACGGGUGAGUAACACGUGAGUAACCUGCCCCCGAGAGCGGGAUAGCCCCGGGAAACUGGGAUUAAUACCGCAUAGUAUCGAAAGAUUGAAGCAGCAAUGCGCUUGGGGAUGGGCUCGCGGCCUAUUAGUUAGUUGGUGAGGUAACGGCUCACCAAGGCGAUGACGGGUAGCCGGUCUGAGAGGAUGUCCGGCCACACUGGAACUGAGACACGGUCCAGACACCUACGGGUGGCAGCAGUCGAGAAUCAUUCACAAUGGGGGAAACCCUGAUGGUGCGACGCCGCGUGGGGGAAUGAAGGUCUUCGGAUUGUAAACCCCUGUCAUGUGGGAGCAAAUUAAAAAGAUAGUACCACAAGAGGAAGAGACGGCUAACUCUGUGCCAGCAGCCGCGGUAAUACAGAGGUCUCAAGCGUUGUUCGGAAUCACUGGGCGUAAAGCGUGCGUAGGCUGUUUCGUAAGUCGUGUGUGAAAGGCGCGGGCUCAACCCGCGGACGGCACAUGAUACUGCGAGACUAGAGUAAUGGAGGGGGAACCGGAAUUCACGGUGUAGCAA